rnacentral:rRNA from 1 species
CCUACGGGAGGCUGCAGUGGGGAAUAUUGCGCAAUGGGCGAAAGCCUGACGCAGCGACGCCGCGUGAGGGAUGAAGGUCUUCGGAUCGUAAACCUCUGUCAGCAGGGAAGAACGGUCACUGUGCUAAUCAGCAGUGAAUUGACGGUACCUGCAAAGGAAGCACCGGCUAACUCCGUGCCAGCAGCCGCGGUAAUACGGAGGGUGCGAGCGUUAAUAGGAAUUACUGGGCGUAAAGCGCUCGUAGGCGGUAUGGCAAGUCAAGGGUGAAAUCCCCGCGCUCAACGUGGGAACUGCCUUUGAAACUGGCAAACUGGAGUGUGUGAGAGGAAAGUGGAAUUCCAGGUGUAGGAGUGAAAUCCGUAGAUAUCAGGAGGAACAUCAGUGGCGAAGGCGACUAUCUGGAACAUAACUGACGCUGAGGAGCGAAAGCGUGGGUAGCAAACAGGAUUAGAUACCCCAGUAGUC